CAGCCGCCACGGUAAUACAGAGGGUGCGAGCGUUAAUCGGAUUUACUGGGCGUAAAGCGUGCGUAGGCGGCUUCUUAAGUCGGAUGUGAAAUCCCUGAGCUUAACUUAGGAAUUGCAUUCGAUACUGGGAAGCUAGAGUAUGGGAGAGGAUGGUAGAAUUCCAGGUGUAGCGGUGAAAUGCGUAGAGAUCUGGAGGAAUACCGAUGGCGAAGGCAGCCAUCUGGCCUAAUACUGACGCUGAGGUACGAAAGCAUGGGGAGCAAACAGGAUUAGAUACCCCGGUAGUCCCUGUCUCUUAUAC
rnacentral:rRNA from 1 species